CGUAAAUCUUGUCUUGUUCUAUGCUUGUUUCCUGCCUCUCCUGAGUUGGCAGCCAGCACCGCCGUUUUUCAAAAGAGCUGCCUUCAACCCCAUGCCCAGCAAGAUGUGGGGAGAAAGGAGCACAAAGCAAGUAAUUGAUGAUUCAAGCGUGGGAACACCGUGAUUUCCAUUUCUGCUGAGGGUUGGACUUCAGCCUCUGCUGAAUCACAGAGCACAAGGGCAGGAAAGAGAAGAAGCAAGACCCUGUGUGAGAAGUUCUCUUUUGCAUGAAGCAAAGAAACAGUGAGUCUAACCGGUGAAGGAAAGGAAGACUUAAAAGAGACAUGCCAGCAGGAGGACUUGAACUGGGGACCUUCUUCAAAUGAAGCAGGUGUUCUAAACCCGAGCCAUGGCUUCUCCCCUUUUGGGUUUCUACAUGGAAUCAGAACAGGACCAGAAAGUUGAGUUCUGUUAAAAAAAAUGAAAUCCAAGUUUCUUAGGACCUCAUAUUCCAAUCCAAAUGAGAUACCAGUGCAAACAAACAAGACUGUUUGACUCUCUUCCAGAGGAACCCAGCGUGGGCCUCUGGAUACAAUCAACUUCGUAUAUCAGGAAGUUUCAGCUCUGGCAAAAUGCAAGCCAAAAAAUCAAAGCUGUGGAAAGUGGAGGAGAAAAAAGAGAUGUGGAAGAGAGAAUGCAGUGUUCAAGGUCCCUGUGCCUUUACCUCAGUGGGAUGCAGGAACUGGGGUGUCGUCUCUAUCUUCAAAAACGACGAGAAGGAACGUGGGAACUACAGACUGGUGAGCCUGACAUCAAUCCCAGGAAAAUGCGGGAGCAGAUUAUACAGCAGUCACUGUGAAAGCACCAUGAAAACACCUUAUAACUACUAGAAGCCAACAUGUAUUUGUC